AACGAACGCUGGCGGCAUGCCUAACACAUGCAAGUCGAACGAGACCUUCGGGUCUAGUGGCGCACGGGUGCGUAACGCGUGGGAACCUGCCCUUAGGUUCGGAAUAACUCCCCGAAAGGGGUGCUAAUACCGGUUAAUGUCUUCGGACCAAAGAUUUAUCGCCUUUGGAUGGGCCCGCGUUGUAUUAGCUAGUUGGUAGGGUAAAAGCCUACCAAGGCGACGAUCCAUAGCUGGUCUGAGAGGAUGAUCAGCCACACUGGGACUGAGACACGGCCCAGACUCCUACGGGAAGCAGCAGUGGGGAAUAUUGGACAAUGGGCGAAAGCCUGAUCCAGCAAUGCCGCGUGAGUGAUGAAGGACUUAGGGUUGUAAAGCUCUUUUACCCGGGAUGAUAAUGACAGUACCGGGAGAAUAAGCACCGGCUAACUCCGUG
rnacentral:rRNA from 1 species